UGCCCCUCUUCAGCUGCCGCCUGCUUCGGCAAACCGCACGCCAGUUCCGGUGGGAACAAACUACCCCAUCUGGCAACCUGGAAUCGCGGCACCAGGUGGUGGCACAGACGGCGCGGGACUCAUAAGCCAGCCAGGAGCCGUCCACUUCGGGCACGACAUCGCGCCAAGCAUACCAAGCUUACGAUGGUUGCUCUUACAGCUCAGGAAAAAAGAGUUCCAGACCGUAUUCAAGAUUAUGGAAAGAUCUGUCAUCAGACUGACUUACCAAAACAAGCACAACUCAACCUUCAGUACGAAAGCAAAGGUUGGUCUAUCUCAUGUGAAUCUGUACAUCAUGACUUAAAGGUCAACUCUGGCAAUUUCCUGAGGUCAUUGGACCUGAAUGAAAUUGGCUAUGUGUGUUCCCCUGCCCACUCCUCACCUAUAUGCAGAACGACAGGCUUGAGAGAUGUACAGAUUUAUCUCAGAUAAAUUUUAUUGACUACCUUGAACGCUUGCUUCGCUUUCCACAACUAUUGAACACAUUGUGUGCGACAUAGUAUAUACAUAAACAAUGAAGACAGCUGGCAGCAUCAAGAAGUAAGAUAUACAUCAGCUAUGCUACCAAAAUGGCAGCAGGCAGCACAAGAAAAUGAAAAAGGUGGAUUGGCGACUACUGACCAGCCCUGGCAAGCCGCAAUAGCCAGUGAGGCCCUGGAAGUGAAGCUCCGCUCAGAGUGACCAAACAGCCUUGUUUCAAUAAUUUAUUUUCUGUGCCAUACUAAGCGGUUAAAUGUAAACAGCGUUGUAGCAUCUGCUAGCGUGUUACUUUCACUGUUUUUGUUUUCUGCACUGGCCAUACAGUCAUACUAUAUAUGCCCGCCCAACUUUUACAUUAAAAUAUGUAGCUGAAAUGGAUGCUUAUUUUGGCUUUAUUCUCACUUGUAGCUCUAGGAAACAAGCACUGAGCCUGUGGCACCGCAGUGCAUAAGUGAAUGAAAGGAACUGGUAUGCUUUGUGCAGCAGCUGACCCAUCAGUAGAGCCAUGUUGAGUUGUUUUGCAGUGUCACGUAUGAAUUUCUUAGUCGUAAACUAUGCCAUAACUAUAAGAACUAUGCACCUGGAACAAAGUUUUUCAGUUUUCUGCUUAAAAAAUUUACUGAAAUUUGGAUUAGUGUAUGCCGCAUAAAGCAAGUGAUCAUCCGGGCACUUUUAUCAAGUUCAUGCUGUAGCUUUUUUGUGUGAAUUUAAACUCCACGCAAUUUAACUGAUAUUUUUACGGUGCUGAUGGAAGUGAGUGGCAGCCAGCAAAGUGAUCUUAAAUAAGCAGUCGACAUUUUGUUGGUGGAAAACCAUCGACAGAUCUAGCAAUUCUUUCUUGUGGGAUGCGGCUGUUUUUCUACUGUUCCGCAAUUCGUAAACAGUAACACUAGGGAAGCAUCUCCGCAUGUCUCGCAAAAUGUGUCGUGGACUGCAGAAUUUUAUUCCCCUUGUAUUUCUAUUGCUCUUAACAGCACUGUGCAUGCAAGCGAUGCUGCACCACACCAUUUUAUUGCAUUUAGUGACAGCUAAGAGAUCAUUUGCAAGGUUGGCGUGUGACAGUUACUCAAGGACUUGUGCAGUGCAAGCAACGUCUAUAAAUAGAGCUGCACAACAGUGCAGAAAAUUUCGUGGAACUUCCAGACAUUACUUAAUACAACACGUUCAGUUCAGAGAUCGUACGUUUUACUUGCGCCCAUUGCAAGGGGUUGUCUAACAGGUGUCAGACAAAUGCCAUCAGGCAAAAUGACUAGAAAGAAUCCAUACAAACAUGGAUGUUAACUGUCUAUGCUUUGUGGUCUACACUGGCCAGCCGAUUGCCCUUUCAGAAUACACUGCCACACAUCUGUGCUUUCUAUCACAUUGAAAACAUGACUGAUUCCAUAUAAUUUGUCCUUUCUUUUCGUUUGAGAAACUAAAGGAAUCCUGCAUUGUUGACGUUACGAAGGCCUACCCGUUUCAUCAUAUAUGUUGUCUUCGCACACACACACUUGCGUGUAAUGUGGGCAUAGCAGAAAAAGAGGUGUCUAUUUGUAGCACGCCACUUGAAACUGAAGUGGUGGCACGUGGAAGUGCAGUGGCGCAGUAGACUGUUGUUCCACUUGUAGGUGCUGCACAUUUCCCAUAAGCUAAAAUAAGUGAAAAUAAAAGGAGAAAGAACAGAAAGUCAGCUAUACUUCUGCUUGACAAAGCAAUACCCUUUACAACUCCUCCGAAGACUUACUUCUCGUAUACUAGUAAAAGUCUUCCAAAUGUUAACCACAGUAGAAUCUCAGUAAAGGGAAAUCUGCUAAAUGGAACUGCUGCCUUUGAUAAAAUGGAACAACUGCCUUUGAUAUUGUUGAUUUAGUACUUGUAUUGUCCGCCCCUGUUCAUCUCUCAGUAAAUGGAACUUCUGGUAAAUGGAAUAUAUAUUUUCCUGGUUCCUUCCGUUUUGGUUUAGAGACCAUCUACUGUGAUUAAUCUUGAUUAAAUAUUGAAAUAGUUUUAACACAAAAGUUCAUGCCAGAAUAUAAAAAGCAGUACUGUACAUUUGUUUGCUUUUAUAAGUGUUUUGUUCAAGUUAGCUGAAACACACUUGAAGGCUUAGAUACAAUUCAGUUGCUUGGCUGCAGCAGUAUUCACAUUUCUGAAUAUCGCCAUCAUGCAUGAAAAAAAAGAAAAAGAAAGCAGCUCAUCACAUCACAAACUUCAAUGAAUUGGGGUCCCUUGUAAAGGCUGUUCUACUCAGGCAUUUUUCUGAAACAUGACAUUAUACCUUGCAAUAACCCACCCUGAACACUUCAUGUUUGCCCUGUGGCUUUUGUUGUAAAAAUCCUGUAAUAAGAUUCAACAUGUGAGCAUAAACAUGCCAAUUAUUUCUUGAUGCGGUACUUGCCCUUUGCAACAGCUUUUAGUCACCAUUUUCGAUACUAUGGGUAAUAAAGAAAUCACACAAGUAUGAAUGCUCGGUAGGUAAUUCUGGUUUUACAAUGUUGGAGCUUCUUUUUCAUAGUUGUAGAUGUAGAAGUUUUUCUACAAAAGGAAACAACUGCAUAUCGCAUAUUCGCAGACCAGCGUUAUCCUUAUCGCUUUUCUUAAUUACUGCUUUCGUGUCCAUAACAUGCUUGAUAAACAAAUAUCAAGCCAGUAUUGACCAACCAAUGUCAGCUGAGAUAACAAAGAGCAGAGCUAAUUGGUGAAUAUUCAUUCUAAAAGACACCCCAGGCCCUCUUGUGGUGUCAUGACUUCUUUUGUGUGUCUAUAAUUGGACACCCUGUCUUUUAGAAUGAACAACCUCGGCUAUUUUUUGCUUUGUUUACUGUUUGCAUGCUCUUACAGCACAAUAAGGGCAAAAAUAAUAAUGGAAACUGGACAUCAAUAUGAGGUCUUUUUGUAAAAACGUGCUGUUACUAUCCCUGAUUUGCUCACAUUUUCCUAUCUUUAAUUUCUUAGUAAGUUACUAUUUUUACAGUGAAAGCUGCUAUGAUAUCACAAAAAAGACUGUCUCCAGCGCCGUACUUGUCCGCCGACAGUGUCCGCAACCAACAUCGCAUGAAGUAUGAAAAAAAAAAUGAAAUGAGAAAAUAUCUCUCGUGUAAACGGGGCUCCAGGCCUUGUCUGUGGCAGCCCAGUGCUUUACCACAGAGCCACUCCUGUGCUCGAGAUUGUGCUGCCGACUUCCCUUAUGCACGCUUCUUGUCAGUUCAGGAAUCGUGUUAUAAGAGCAUUUCAGAAGAGUAACUAAGCAACCUAGCAUCACAUAAUGCGAAUCGCUUAACAAUUGGGUCUAUUGAAUGGUUCCAGGCCACUACAAAAGGCUGAGUCAUAAUUGUUUGUCGUCGUUAGCUACAGCAUCAGCAAAUAAUGCACAUAAUGCCAAUAUAGCAAAUUGCACAUAAUGUCUUACAGGUGCAUAGUGAGCACCAUGCUCCCCUGAAGAAAGACAAAUACUAAUGAAAUAGUGCACGCUUCUCUACUUCACAAAUGUUAUGGUGAUUUUGGUGUAGUGGGUAUCAUGCAAGUGUACCUGUAGUAGUGUCUACAAGAGUGUUCAGAAAAGGCUCUAGAAAGGCCACUCUUCCAGCUUUUGCUGUGACUGUGCUGUGCGUUUUGCACAGGCCAGGUGUUUUUUUAUUCUUAGAAGGUUUGUGAGUGUGCAUUUGAUUCAUUGCAGAUGUGACUGCAAGAUUUGACCAUGUAUUUUGGUGUGGCGAUCUGAAUUUUCGACUCAUGAAUGAUCGUUCGGUCGUCGGUUUACUGAAGGAUGACCAUGAAAAUAAACAACUUGCAUAUGAGAACCUCCUGAAAUUUGAUCGGCCGAGAAGUGCUGUGCUGCAUGGUCAGGCAUCUUUGGCUUUUAAGAAGGAAAGAGAAAAUUUGGACUGACCUACCAAUUCGAAGUUGGCUCAAGUCAGUUUGAUGGUGUGAAGCAUAGAGUGCCAUCGUACACGGAUCGAAUACUUUAUAGAAGCAAAAGAAAAGGCCAUAUAGAGUGUAUUCUCUAUGACUCAAUUCUAAUAAUGCAAACCUCUGAUCAUCAACCAUCGUAUGGGCUGCAUAAAGUGGGGAUUCGACCUGGAAG